UUGACCUCGGAUCAGGUAGGAAUACCCGCUGAACUUAAGCAUAUCAAUG
rnacentral:rRNA from 1 species